UAUGGCCGGCGUCAGCAAGGGUAAAAAAAAGGUUGGGCUAAGUGCACGCAACGAGCGCAACCCUUGUGCGCUAGUUGCCAGCACGUCGGGAGGGAACUGUAGAGAGACCGCCGGGGACAAACCGGAGGAAGGUGGGGAUGACGCCAAGGCAGCCUGGCCCUUGUGGCCAGGGCUACACCCCCGCCACAAUGGGGGGCACAAAGGGCAGGCAAACCGGGAGGGAAAGCCAAUCCCCCAAAGCCGCUCACUAGGCCGGAUCUGGAUUUUUCCCCACCCCGGGGGGAAGGAACCCCUCUAUAUCUUUCGGGAUAGGGGUGAGAAGCGGGGACACCUCCAAGGAGGGGGGGAUG
rnacentral:rRNA from 1 species